UGAUGCAGACAGCCCCACCUCAGC
rnacentral:piRNA from 1 species